rnacentral:rRNA from 1 species
GAUGAACGCUGGCGGCGUGCCUAAUACAUGCAAGUCGAGCGAACAGAUAAGGAGCUUGCUCCUUUGACGUUAGCGGCGGACGGGUGAGUAACACGUGGGUAACCUACCUAUAAGACUGGGAUAACUUCGGGAAACCGGAGCUAAUACCGGAUAACAUUUGGAACCGCAUGGUUCUAAAGUGAAAGAUGGUUUUGCUAUCACUUAUAGAUGGACCCGCGCCGUAUUAGCUAGUUGGUAAGGUAACGGCUUACCAAGGCAACGAUACGUAGCCGACCUGAGAGGGUGAUCGGCCACACUGGAACUGAGACACGGUCCAGACUCCUACGGGAGGCAGCAGUAGGGAAUCUUCCGCAAAGGGCGAAAGCCUGACGGAGCAACGCCGCGUGAGUGAUGAAGGGUUUCGGCCCGUAAAACUCUGUUAUUAGGGAAGAACAAACGUGUAAGUAACUGUGCACGUCUUGACGGUACCUAAUCAGAAAGCCACGGCUAACUACGUG